rfam:TPA: Bos taurus chromosome 21, whole genome shotgun sequence.
UCCCUGGUGGCUCAGAUGGUAAAGCAUCUGCCUACAAUGCGGGAGACCUGGGUUCGAUCCCUGGGUCGGGAA